rnacentral:rRNA from 1 species
GACGAACGCUGGCGGCGUGCCUAACACAUGCAAGUGGAGCGACGAACCAGGCUUCGGCCUGGGGCAAAGCCGCGAACGGGUGAGUAACACGUGGGUAACCUGCCCUGAUGAUUGGGACAACCCGAGGAAACUCGGGCUAAUACCGAAUGUGCCCUCCGGCCUCAAGGCCGCUGGGGAAAGGAAGCUUCGGCCUCCGCAUCGGGAUGGGCCCGCGGCCCAUUAGCUUGUUGGUGAGGUAACGGCNCACCAAGGCGACGAUGGGUAGCUGGUCUGAGAGGACGAUCAGCACACUGGGACUGAGACACGGCCCAGACUCCUACGGGAGGCAGCAGUGGGGAAUCUUGCGCAAUGCGCGAAAGCGUGACGCAGCAACGCCGCGUGGGGGAAGAAGCCUCGGUGU